UAACCUGCCCAAGAGAUCGGGAUAACACCUGGAAACAGAUGCUAAUACCGGAUAACAACAUAUGAUGCCUAUCAACUGUUUAAAAGAUGGUUCUGCUAUCACUCUUGGAUGGACCUGCGGUGCAUUAGCUAGUUGGUAGGGUAACGGCCUACCAAGGCGAUGAUGCAUAGCCGAGUUGAGAGACUGAUCGGCCACAUUGGGACUGAGACACGGCCCAAACUCCUACGGGAGGCAGCAGCC
rnacentral:rRNA from 1 species